rnacentral:rRNA from 1 species
GACGAAGGUGGCAAGCGUUACUCGGAAUUACUGGGCGUAAAGCGCGCGUAGGCGGUUUGUUAAGUCAGCUGUGAAAGCCCCGGGCUCAACCUGGGAACUGCAGUUGAUACUGGCCGACUAGAGUACGAGAGAGGGAGGUAGAAUUCCAUGUGUAGCGGUGAAAUGCGUAGAUAUCAGGAGGAAUACCGGUGGCGAAAGCGACUCUCUGGACGGCAACUGACGCUGAGGCACGAAAGCGUGGGGAGCAAACAGG